UGUGCGCUGGACCAGAGAAAGAAAAAAAAAGAAAACAAGUAAGGCCAUAUCCACGUUUAUCACAUGUUCUUUCCCAAAUAAAAAUGAAUAUGUUCCCUCCAUUAGCUCAGGUCUCCUCCGUCGCGCCGGAGGCUGGCUCUAGCGGUAAUAGAGGCUUAAUGUCCAAAAAGAUUCCAUCAACCUCUUCUUCUUUCCAACCAGAGUCUGAAUAUCACCUUGAAAAAUCCUAAUUCAACCUCUAUCCUCUAAAUCAGAGUUACGAAUCAAAGAACCCUAUAUCUUCUAGCAAAAAUUAAAUGAUGACUAUCAAGAAUCAGAGCCCUAGAUGUUAGGGCUUUGACUCUUCUCAAAGUGUCCUACAUGGUGGUAACUCUCUUGGAGUGAAAUGAUGAAGAUAGGACACGCACUCAUCGGAGCACCGUGCCGGAAAUGUCAGGUUGCUUGGUAUUAUAGGCUGCAACAUAUGGAGUCAUGGCCAAGGUUCAUGUAUGUACAAGUUGAUAUGAUGAGUUGAUGUAGUAGAUUUCGUGGCUUGUUCAAGGCAUGGCUGUAAAUAUGCAUUAAUGCAGGUUGGAGAAAGCUAAAGUGUGAUGUAGCAGGGCAUGGUUCAGGAUUCAUGAGCAUGAUGACUUGAGGAGGAUCAUUUGAUAUGGAGGAAGCAAGUUCCAGGGCCAAAGUUCUGGUGCAGGUUUGAAGGUAGUAUGGAUUAGAUGGUAUAGUGCCAUGUUUGGCUAUGUCAUGCCUGAUUCCCCCAUGAUGCACUGUUGAAACAUGUUUUGGUCAUGAGGAAUAGGCUGCAGCAUGAGGUCCAUCUUGUUGCACCUUAAACAUGACUUGAUGGAUCGCAAAUGGUUUGUUGGAAUUGCCUUCCAUGUUUUAAAAUAUUUGUGAAAUGUUCAAAUGUAUCAUGUUAAAUGGUUGGCUAGUGUUUGUAUGCAUGAUUGUGAGGCUUGGAAGGCAGAUUUACAAGUCAUCAUGCAAGCAUUAAGAACAAGUUCAAGGCAUGGCCAAAUUUGGAUAAACUUGAUCAAUGGAGGAAAUGGUGGACAUGGGAGAUCUAGGAAUGAGCAUUGAUGAAGAUCCGGUUAAUAUUAGAUUUUAGGUGAAAAAUGUGAUGGUUGACUUUGGUCAACUAGUUGACCAAAAAGUCAAUAGUUGACAAAAAGUCAACUUUUGUAAAAAUGCAAAAUUUUAAUAUUUCUUUUGUAAUGAACAUUAUACAUGUUUAAUGAAUGAAUGAAUAGCCAUUUGUGUGAA